rnacentral:rRNA from 1 species
CGCCAGCCUGACGGAGCCAGACCGCGUGGGGGAGGAAGGCCCUUGGGUUGUAAACCCCUUUUCUCAGGGAAGAAACCUGACGGUACCUGAGGAAAAAGCCUCGGCUAACUCCGUGCCAGCAGCCGCGGUAAUACGGAGGAGGCAAGCGUUAUCCGGAAUUACUGGGCGUAAAGCGUUCGUAGGGGGCUCGUCAAGUCUGCUGUCAAAGCUCGGAGCUCAACUCCGAAGGGGCAGUGGAAACUGGGGAGCUAGAGGGCGGCAGGGGCAGAAGGAAUUCCUGGUGUAGCGGUGAAAUGCGUAGAUAUCGGGAAGAACACCAGAGGCGAAAGCGCUCUACUGGGUCGCACCUGACCCUCAGGGACGAAAGCUAAGGUAGCG